AUGGUCUUGAUCAACUGGAAGGGUCUUGGUCAACCAAGAAGGAUCUUCCUCAACCGGAAGAGUCUCCCACCAACCCCCCUCAACUCUUUAAGCCCCUCCCCCUUUUUCACCGCCACCCCUCCCCCCGCAGCCUCCACGGUGGUGGCGCCGCAGGUCUACGUCUUCCCCCCUCCCGCCGAGGAGUUGGCGCGGCAAGAGAAGGUCACCUUGACCUGCCUGGCCACCGGUUUCAUCCCCGGCGACAUCUUGGUCAGCUGGACCCACCAGGACCAACCCGUGGCCCGAGGGGAAUUCCAGGUCUUCGGCCCCCAACGCGACGGCGACGCCUUCACCCUCUACAGCAAGAUGGCGGCCGAGGCCGAGGAUUGGCGGCGCGGCGACGUCUUCGCCUGCGUGGUGGGGCACGACGGCGCCGGGAUGACCUUCAUCCAGAGGAGUUUGGAUAAGAGCCUGGGGAGGCCCCAGAACGUCAAUGUGUCCGUGCAUUUGGCCGAUACCGACGUCACUUGUUAUUGAAGGGUUGGCCGACCGAGACUGGAAGGGUCU